rnacentral:rRNA from 1 species
CCCCUUAGAGUUUGAUCAUGGCUCAAAACGAACGCUGGCGGCGUGGAUAAGACAUGCAAGUCGAACGGGGCAUUGUGAGUAGCAAUACAAGCGAUGUUCAGUGGCGAACGGGUGCGUAACACGUGGAUACUUUCCGGGAAGCGGGGGAUAGCCCAGGGAAACUUGGAUUAAUACCGCAUGUGGUCAAAAGACUAAAGACGGGGAUCGAAAGACCUGUCACUUCCCGAUUGGUCCGCGGCCUAUCAGCUAGUUGGCGGGGUAAAACCCCACCAAGGCUACGACGGGUAGCUGGUCUUAGAGGACGACCACCCACACUGGAACUGAGACACGGUCCAAACACCUACGGGUGGCAGCAGUCAAUAAUCUUUCACAAUGGGGGCAACCCUGAUGGAGCGACCCCGCGUGGAAGAUAAGGUCUUCGGAUUGUAAACUCCUGUCAUGCGCGAACAAGGUUGCAGGGAUAAUACCUUUGCAAAUUGAUGGUAGCGCAAGAGGAAGAGACGGCUAUCUCUGUGCCAGCAGCCGCGGUAAUACAGAGGUCUCAAGCGUUGUUCGGAAUCACUGGGCGUAGAGGGUGCGUAGGUGGCAUGGUAAGUCAGAUGUGAAAGCCCAGGGCUCAACCUUGGAAUUGCAUCCGAUACUGCUGUGCUAGAGUACUGGGAGGGGGUGACUAUAAUUCUCGGUGUAGCAGUGAAAUGCGUAUAUAUCGAGAGGAAUACCAAAGGCGUAGGCAGGUCACUGGACAGUUACUGACACUGAGGCACGAAGGCCAGGGGAGCAAACGGUAUUACAUACCCCGGGUAGUCCUAGAUAAUAAACGGUGCACUCUUUUUUGGGGUGUGGGGCGCAAUUCGACCGCGUCCCGCGCCAGGAGCUAACGCGUAAAUGUCGCCGCCCUAGAGAAAGUACGGUCGCAUGAUCAUACUCGAGAUAGUCGACGGACGUCACGGGGUAGUAGAGAAAGUAUGUUGCCAUUAAACUUCCGAUGGCCA